AGCCUGCAAAAAAGGAGAAGAGUCAUGAAAAUGCAUCUUAAAGACAAGAGGAUGAGAGCCUUCUCAGAACCAGUGUUUCUUUUCUGAGGGAUCCCGGGAGCCGGGACCCCUGCUUUUGAUCCAAAACAACCGAGGAUUCGGGGAGAGGCGAUCUGCCACCGCUUUUGGCGGACCAGUUCAAGCCGGCAGGUUCGGGGCGGCUUGACAAUUCCCGUGGAAGUAGGCGGCCGAGAACCCGAGACUCUCGGGGCCCAGGCUCCUCGGAGGACAGUGUUGUAUUUCCAAAAAAUGGCAGGGUGCUAGCCGCUGACCAGUGGUAGACUGAGCACCGAGGAGACUACUACAGACAUAUAAAAGACACGAUCGUCGUCCUCGGGGGAGAUGACGUGUCGGAAUAAACACGGGGUCCGCAGCCGGGAGGGCCGAGUGGGAACGUGCGGAAAACAAACCGGGGAAGGAGGAGUGGGAUAUGAGAAGGUGGGGAGCGCCGCCAAACUGAGCCCCCGCCCCAGUCCGGACCAUCUGGCUCUAGCAGGCCGAGCCUGAGAACCCUACGGCCUCCACUUCCCUAGCAGUAAAAAGGGGCCCGGGGGGAGAGAUUGGAAUAAUAGCUUGACAAUUUUGAAGAAAACCAGGACCCCUGACUAUCACCCCAAGGUUAAGUCCCAUCCUGCUUCCUGGCGGGCAGCCCCGGCCCCGUGGGCAAGACCCCCUCCCUCCCUCCCUCCAUCUGUAGAAGCAGAAGGUGCCAGGACUCAGAGCCUCCCUCCCUCCCGCCUGCCGCCGUAAGCCUUCCCCGCUGUCAGUUAGAAAGCCGGGGCCGAGAUGAUCCCCCUCCCCGGCCUCGGACUCCCGCGUUCUGUGGCCCUCCUGUUCCAUCGUGGGCAAACGACCCGUUGUCGCCUACCUGUUCCUCACUUGCUCUUCCUCCUCGCCACCAUCCACGGCUGGUUUUGGCCUGAUUAAAUACUGUGUCUGCUGCCGCUCUUUCGGGGGGCUCACUGUAGUCCCCAAACCCCCAAGCUCAGGGCAAAUAGGGGAAUAGUCCCACUGCGCCUCACUCCCUACUGUCGCUUUCUCUCCAUCUCUUCCCCUCCUCUUCCUCCUCCCUAGGAGACAGGAGAAGGUGGGAGGGCAGUGUGAGGAGGCGUUCUACUCACCCCGAUGAUGGCUCCAAGGGCUGGGGGGGAGCCCCGUUCGCCUGAGGCCGAGCAGGGAACAAGCCACAGCUACUCUGAAGACUUCACUGACCUCCCAAGAAGACUGUGAAUAGAACUGUGAUCCAUUCAGAGAUCGAGAAAAAUGAAGCCAGUUCCUAGAAACGGAGUCCUCGGCCUUUAUGGGCAAAUGGGAGCUAAAUACAUUCAAAAAUACAUACAUGAAACAGGCUAUUCUGCCGAACCUGUCAAACUUGCUUUAUAAAUGUCAUAAAGACCACAGGGAGUUCCAGACCUCUGAAUUCUGAAGAACACUCUAUGAUUUACUACCGCUACAAGAUAAUCUUUUCAACUGCUGUUUUCUGGUACCCAAGAAAGAUCAAUCAAUCGUAUUUACUGUGGACUAUUAAACGACGGGUCCCUGACGGAACAUCUUUGAUCGUAGUCCAGCAGUUGAGAGCAUUGCCUAGAGGGGGUUUGUGGGUCACCUCCUACGAUAGGUUCCCCCAGACAGGAUCUCAUCGGUGGACCGGUCCUGAGCCAGGGAUUUCACGUUUCCGAAUCGCAACUGUCCCAGAAUUCCUGAAGGAAACGAGAUGGGGUCUUUGCUUAAAAUGUGCCCAGCGAAAGCUUUGUGGUCCAAGUGGGUACGGGGGCACGACUGAGGGACAUCUGACCCCGGACGUCCCACCGGCACAGCAAACCGAACUGCAACGCCUCAGCAGCGUGGCCCAAUGGAAAGAGCACGGAUUUUGGAGUCAGAGGUCGUGGGUUCAAACCCCGGCU